UCUGGGGGAUGCAGGCAAAGGAAAGGGUUUAGCUGGUCAGUCUCUCAAGGCCAGCUAAGCAAAGUUGGUGGAAUCAAAGGAACUCACUCACUCACUCUUUGGUUACUUAGCAACUCUCUCACUCUUUGGUUACCUAGCAACAACCUUUUGAGUAACUGGCGCAGAAGCAGUUUAAUGUUUUGCCACUCUGCAUGUUUAAAAC